rnacentral:rRNA from 1 species
AUUGAACGCUGGCGGCAGGCUUAACACAUGCAAGUCGAGCGGAGAUGAGGUGCUUGCACCUUAUCUUAGCGGCGGACGGGUGAGUAAUGCUUAGGAAUCUGCCUAUUAGUGGGGGACAACUUUCCGAAAGGAAUGCUAAUACCGCAUACGCCCUACGGGGGAAAGCAGGGGAUCUUCGGACCUUGCGCUAAUAGAUGAGCCUAAGUCGGAUUAGCUAGUUGGCGGGGUAAAGGCCUACCAAGGCGACGAUCUGUAGCGGGUCUGAGAGGAUGAGCCGCCAAACUGGGACUGAGGCACGGCCCAGACUCCUACGGGAGGCAGCAGUGGGGAAUAUUGGACAAUGGGCGGAAGCCUGAUCCAGCCAUGCCGCGUGUGUGAAGAAGGCCUUUUGGUUGUAAAGCACUUUAAGCGAGGAGGAGGCUACCUGGAUUAAUACUCUAGGAUAGUGGACGUUACUCGCAGAAUAAGCACCGGCUAACUCUGUGCCAGCCGCCGCAGUAACAC